GAAAAUCCCCAUGAUGCAGUGGUGCUUCAUCCAAAGAAUGCUGCACUUACCCUAGACAGCUUGCCAGAGAAGAGCGUGAUUGGCACAAGUUCACUUCGCAGAGCAGCUCAGCUGAAGAAACGAUUCCCUCAACUGGAGUUUGAAAAUAUUAGAGGGAACCUAAACACCCGUCUGA